rnacentral:rRNA from 1 species
CGGGUGAGCAAUGUCUGGGAAACUGCCCGAUGGAGGGGGAUAACUACUGGAAACGGUAGCUAAUACCGCAUAACGUCGCAAGACCAAAGAGGGGGACCUUAGGGCCUCUUGCCAUCGGAUGUGCCCAGAUGGGAUUAGCUAGUAGGUGGGGUAAUGGCUCACCUAGGCGACGAUCCCUAGCUGGUCUGAGAGGAUGACCAGCCACACUGGAACUGAGACACGGUCCAG